AUUGAACGCUGGCGGCCGGCCUAACACAUGCAAGUCGAGCGGAGCGGCGGACGGGUGAGUAAUGCCUAGGAAUCUGCCUGGUAGUGGGGGAUAACGUCCGGAAACGGGCGCUAAUACCGCAUACUAUCAGAUGAGCCUCGGUCGGAUUUGCUCGUUGGUGGGGUAAAGGCCUAACUAGGCGACGAUCCGUAACUGGUCUGAGAGGAUGAUCAGUCACACUGGAACUGAGACACGGGCCAGACUCCGACGGGAGGCAGCAGUGGGGAAGAUUGGGCAAUGGGCGAAAGUCUGAUCCAGCAAUGCCGCGUGUGUGAAGAAGGUCUUCGGAGGGUAAAGCACUUUAAGUUGGGAAGCGUUACCAACAGAAAAAGCACCGGCUAACUUCGUGCCAGCAGCCGCGGUAAUUC
rnacentral:rRNA from 1 species